CGGCUGCUGCUGGAGCCGGUGUCCGGGCUGGUGAUGGGGUUAAUUCCCUUUCGUAAGACUCUUACUUGCACCCACCCAGCCCCGCCGUCGCCCCGCCGCGCCGCGCUCCAGCCGCCUCCUCCUCCUUCUCAGUAACGCGGGACCUGGAAGAAAUUUGGAUGUGUAUUAGAAUUAAAAAAUGAAAGAUGUAACCCUGCAAGGAAUCUAAACCUUUGAGUGUUGUUUAUUUCCCAGAGCAUGAUGAGA
rnacentral:lncRNA from 1 species